GAUGAACGCUGGCGGCGUGCUUAACACAUGCAAGUCGAACGGAAAGGCUCCUGCUUGCAGGGGUACUCGAGUGGCGAACGGGUGAGUAACACGUGGGUGAUCUGCCCUGCACUUCGGGAUAAGCCUGGGAAACUGGGUCUAAUACCGGAUAGGACCACAUUUUGGAUGGUGUGGUGGAAAGUUUUUCGGUGUGGGAUGAGCUCGCGGCCUAUCAGCUUGUUGGUGGGGUAAUGGCCUACCAAGGCGUCGACGGGUAGCCGGCCUGAGAGGGUGUACGGCCACAUUGGGACUGAGAUACGGCCCAGACUCCUACGGGAGGCAGCAGUGGGAAAUAUUGCACAAUGGGCGCAAGCCUGAUGCAGCGACGCCGCGUGGGGGAUGACGGCCUUCGGGUUGUAAACUCCUUUCGCUAGGGACGAAGCGUUUUUGUGACGGUACCUGGAGAAGAAGCACCGGCUAACUACGUG
rnacentral:rRNA from 1 species